CCUACGGGAGGCAGCAGUGGGGAAUAUUGGGCAAUGGGCGCAAGCCUGACCCAGCAACGCCGCGUGAAGGAAUAAGGCUCUCGGGUUGUAAACUUCUUUUUAGAGGGAAGAGCAGAAGACGGUACCUCUUGAAUAAGCCACGGCUAGCUACGUGCCAGCAGCCGCGGUAAUACGUAGGGGGCAAGCGUAGUCCGGAUUUACUGGGGGUAAAGGGCGUGCAGCCGGGAAGACAAGUCAGAUGGGAAAUCCCGGGGCUCAACCGCGGAACUGCAGUUGAAACUGUUUUUCUUGAGUGCCGGAGAGGUCAGCGGAAUGCGUGGUGUAGCGGUGAAAUGCGUAGAUAUAAGGAAGAACACCAGUGGCGAAGGCGGAUGACUGGAGGGCAACUGACGGUGAGGCGCGAAAGCGUGGGGAGCAAACAGGAUUAGAUACCCGAGUAGUC
rnacentral:rRNA from 1 species